GGAUGACCGCUGGCGGCGUGCCUAAUACAUGCAAGUCGAGCGAACAGACGAGGAGCUUGCUCCUCUGACGUUCGCGGCGGACGGGUGAGUAACACGUGGAUAACCUACCUAUAAGACUGGGAUAACUUCGGGAAACCGGAGCUAAUACCGGAUAAUAUAUUGAACCGCAUGGUUCAAUAGUGAAAGACGGUUUUGCUGUCACUUAUCGAUGGAUCCGCGCCGCAUUAGCUAGUUGGUAAGGUAACGGCUUACCAAGGCAACGAUGCGUAGCCGACCUGAGAGGGUGAUCGGCCACACUGGAACUGAGACACGGUCCAGACUCCUACGGGAGGCAGCAGUAGGGAAUCUUCCGCAAUGGGCGAAAGCCUGACGGAGCAACGCCGCGUGAGUGAUGAAGGUCUUCGGAUCGUAAAACGCUGUUAUUAGGGAAGAACAAAUGUGUAAGUAACUAUGCACGUCUUGACGGUACCGAAGCAGAAAGCCACGGCUAACUACGU
rnacentral:rRNA from 1 species